AAGGUUUUAAGUUAAUUAAACUAAUAGCCUUCAAAGCUGUAAAUAAAAUACAUUUUUUUAAACCUUA
rnacentral:tRNA from 1 species